rnacentral:tRNA from 1 species
GGGGACGUGAGGUAACGGCAUCCUGACCGGCUCCAGACCGGUUCAUCUGGGUUCAAAUCCCAGCGUCCCCA